UGGGAAGGAAGCUUUUUCCUGCAAAUCUGGAGUCUUCUGAUACACGUUCAGUUUUGGUCAGCCUUGUGAAAAUUAUACAUUGUAGACUGGCAUCUCCUUCAGCAGAAAUCCAGGGGCGCUGGAAACUGUUACUAGAAUGAAAGUGCCAAAGCUUGUGCAUAGAAGACUGUCAUCAAAAUGAUUGCUUCAGGGCAGAAAAGGCAAUUCUGGAUAAUUAGAUCUUAUAGCAGGCUUUCUUACAUCCUGUAUAUAAGAACCAUCAGAUAUUUUCCAGAUGAGAGAAAAUUCCUAGCAUGACUUCACAGGAAUCUCAGCAAUCAGGACUAUUUAAUGUAUUAUCUGAUUGCAAUUUACAUUUUGACCAGAAUUACAAUAAAAACAUCAUAUUUUGUCCACA